ACGCCCCACAAACACUCUGCUCGGCUAGAGGGCUCCCGCGGCUCGGUGAAUAGAAAACCCCCGAUUCCUCUUUUAACCUCCCGCGACACACACACACACACACUGCUCAACUACGGACGGCCUUGAUUGGUUAACCAAUCCUAUCAGUCACCAUUGUGUGGGCGGGACUGACACACGCGCCUCCGGAGCUCAAGAGCAGCACUUUACCGAUUCUGUGCGUGAGAGCAAAGUGAGGAAGAGAGGAAUACGGCAGCAUCUCUUCUUCUUACGGGAGGAACCACAACGAAUCAUUAUCACAGCUAUAGUGCUACGGAGCAGUUACAUCUAAUCUGCGCGCUACAUCUUCUAGGCCACCCCAAGGCGACAAAACCGAAUAAAGGGAGGAAAACGUUAGGGAAGCCUUAUUUACCGAUCGAUACGCACGAGGAGCCCAUAUAUAUACGGAUCUCACAGCAACACGAGGACUGACGAGGCCACCCCCACCUGGAUAACAAACCGCUUAACGGAGAACGGAGAGCUUUCGGUAACGCUAGUAAAGAGAGCGAGAAGACAGGAUGAAUCUCAAGCAUCACCUGGUCCUGACGCUGUGCGCAGUCUACGGGAUCCUGCUAAAAGGGUGCCUUUCAGGUGAAUUUGAGAAGUACCAGUACCACCCACGACUGUGUUUUCUAGCGACAGAGACAUCAAUGUUGCAUUCAAUGGUUGUCAGUCCUGUAGCCAAGCAAGUUCCUUACAAAUAUAAAAAUAUGAAAUAUU